rnacentral:rRNA from 1 species
ACUGAACGCUGGCGGCAUGCCUUACACAUGCAAGUCGAACGGCAGCACGGGAGCAAUCCUGGUGGCGAGUGGCGAACGGGUGAGUAAUGUAUCGGAACGUGCCCAGUCGUGGGGGAUAACGUAGCGAAAGCUACGCUAAUACCGCAUAUGAUCUAUGGAUGAAAGCGGGGGAUCGCAAGACCUCGCGCGAUUGGAGCGGCCGAUAUCAGAUUAGGUAGUUGGUGGGGUAAAGGCCCACCAAGCCUGCGAUCUGUAGCUGGUCUGAGAGGACGACCAGCCACACUGGAACUGAGACACGGUCCAGACUCCUACGGGAGGCAGCAGUGGGGAAUUUUGGACAAUGGGCGCGAGCCUGAUCCAGCAAUGCCGCGUGCAGGAUGAAGGCCUUCGGGUUGUAAACUGCUUUUGUACGGAACGAAACGGCUUUUUCUAAUACAGAGAGCUAAUGACGGUACCGUAAGAAUAAGCACCGGCUAACUACGUGCCAGCCGCCGCCGUAA